AUUCAUGCUAAGAGAAACUCUACAUGAAAUCAAGCUUCUCAGGCAUAUGGAUCAUGAGAAUGUCAUAGCCAUCAAAGAUAUUGUAAGACCUCCGCAACGAGAUAUCUCUCAACGAUGUCUACAUUGUCUAUGAGUUAAUGGACACUGAUCUUCAGCGAAUCCUACGUUCUAACCAAACCUUAAGCCAUGAUCAAUGCCCGUUUCAUUGUAUACCAGCUCUUAAGAGGACUCAAGUACGUGCACUCAGCCAACAUAUUACAUCGUGAUCUAAGGCCAAGCAACGUGCUGCUUAACUCGAAACACGAGCUCAAGAUUGGUGAUUUUGGGCUUGCGAGAACAACUUCACUGACUGAAUAUGUAGUCACACGGUGAUACAAAUGAGAAAGAAAUUAUCGGUUAUCAUAACUUAAACUUAAUGCGUAGAUAACAACAGCGAAUGAGGAUCCAACCCCGGAAGCAAAAGACUUCUAUAAAAACUUCA